CCUGGCCUUGACAUACUAAGAACUUUCCAGAGAUGGAUUGGUGCCUUCGGGAACUUAGAUACAGGUGCUGCAUGGCUGUCGUCAGCUCGUGUCGUGAGAUGUUGGGUUAAGUCCCGCAACGAGCGCAACCCUUUUCCUUAUUUGCCAGCGGGUAAUGCCGGGAACUUUAAGGAUACUGCCAGUGACAAACUGGAGGAAGGCGGGGACGACGUCAAGUCAUCCUGGCCCUUACGGCCAGGGCUACACACGUGCUACAAUGGUCGGUACAAAGGGUUGCCACCUCGCGAGAGGAUGCUAAUCUCAAAAAGCCGAUCGUAGUCCGGAUCGCAGUCUGCAACUCGACUGCGUGAAGUCGGAAUCGCUAGUAAUCGCGGAUCAGAAUGCCGCGGUGAAUACGUUCCCGGGCCUUGUACACACCGCCCGUCACACCAUGGGAGUUUGUUGCACCAGAAGUAGGUAGUCUAACCGCAAGGAGGACGCUUACCACGGUGUGGCCGAUGACUGGGGUGAAGUCGUAACAAGGUAGGCGUAGAUGA
rnacentral:rRNA from 1 species